CCGUACCCAAAGCCCACCUCCCCCGAACCAAAGUCUCCAUCCCUCCAUCCACUAAAUCGACGGCGUGGCUGCCUACUUUAUCCCUAACCUCCAUGGCUCCACCUGCCACCCAUCGCCGCCGGUGGCAGUGACAAAGGCCGAGGAGGGUUCGUCCACGGCCGUAUCUGUGCGGGCGACUACAACGAGAUCUUCGGCCUGCUCGACCUCGGGGACUUCACGCCGCCAUAUGAGGAGUUGUUCAGACGGUGGGGAGAGAGGCACACCGGCGCAAGUGGAUGCGCCGGAGAAGGAGAUUGCAUCGUUAAUCGGGAGCUCAUCCAGGAUCAUUUUUUGCUUCAAGUACAAAUCUUCAUCUUGACAAACCAAAGUAAGCGUAUCUAUUGCAUGCUUAAAUGUAUUAUCAGUUCUCAACUGGUUCUUGUCAAGUGGUUUCUGAAUUUCAGGAGAUUAUUUAAUCUUGCUUACAUGGGCAAACUGCAAAAAACAUUACGUAAUGUUUUUUUUAUCGCACACUGCUUCUUUGUGAUUUUGUUUAACUAGCUAAUUAUGUUUCUAUGGUAAAAUAGACUUAGCUUAAUAUAUGAUAGUGAUGCAAAAUUAUGACCUUUACUAACCUUAUUGUUUUCCACAGAUAGGUCAUAUGUAUUAAACUGAUCAACAAUAGUUCCUUCUUAAUGUCAUGGCUGAGCUUGUCCUUCGACAAAUAUGCGACAAAGCUUUGCGAGUCCGAUGGUCUUCAAGCUGGAGCGCAGAGAGUAUUAAGAUGUGGAAGUGAUGGAAUGUUGGUGUCUUUUGGUUCGCCGAUUGGAAGAUGUGGAAGUGCCGAGUGUUUGGUUUCGUUUGGUUCGCUUGUAUUUUCCGUAGAGUUCUUCCCGUUUAGUUUCAAUUUUUCUGUAACACAAGGCUUUGGAGUGACAUGUUUCCUAUAAUACACGUUGUAAUGUGCUUUUUUGAAGUUAUUAUGAGAUUUUUUUCUAC